GCUGAAGGUCAGCUAAAUAGCUUUCAUUAAUCGGUAAAAAGAUUUAGAUACCCCCUUUUAUAAUUAACCAAUUACAAGGAUAAACUUUGUCAUUCUCCAUCAGACCCGACUUCGUUUCAUCCUCUCCGGCGAAGAACGUCUCCGGCGAAGAAUGUCUACGGCGAAAAACACGAAGCUGCUACCAUCUCCGGCAAAGAACAAGAACCUCUGAUUCUCCACCGACGCCAUCAUGGUAAAAGCAAAUCUUGGCUACAAAAGAAGAAAGACGAUCUCGUGAAGUUAUUCUUUGGUAAGAGGUUUUGAAUCUCGUUGUUCCUCUUUCUUCUCUGAUAAUUGCUUGUGAUUUAGAACUACAUGAGAAGUGAUUUGCGAUAUAUAUGGUUGUGGUUCUGUGAGAUCUUCAUUUUGUGGUUUUGUUGAUUCUCUGAUUCCUAAGAAAGAGUCUAAGGCCAGUUUGUAGCUGAAGAGAAACACCAUUACACGAGAAGUUGUUCUGGUAAAGACAAAGCUAUGUUAUGUUUGCUGUCCAGGGAGGGAAAGAGCCUUGAAAGUUGUUGGAGGUCAAAUCAAAGGCUGCUAAAUUUGGGAACACAAGGUUUUGAGGACACUAACACGAUGAGAGUUUCAGUACCUCUCAGGCUAGCACUGCAUGAGCUGAAGUAUCCUAUUGGUUCGGAGCCAAGGCAAAACAUUUGGAGAUUUAUGUUGUAAAAUUUUCAUAUUUCUGAAUGUAACAAGAAAGCAUUUUACAUAUUCUGGAUAACUUUACAAAACUAAAAAAAAAUAGAAAAAAUGUUAUAGA